CUUAAUUAGUUUAAUAAAGAAUAUUGAUUUGUGAUGUCAAUGGUAUACAUGUAUAUUAAGUUA
rnacentral:tRNA from 1 species